CGUGGACCCCAGCAACUGGGUCAGCAUACUGGCCAGCAAACUAGUGGGGAAGGCAGCAGAUAUUUACCGGGCUGUAUCAGAAUAGCCCUUUAUUACACAAAUCCUCCUAGCCCGGUAUGUGGUCACCCCCGAGCAAUACCGCCAAAAGUUUAGGGAGACCUGGAAAGGGGAGAAGGAUGCCAUUUACUGCGCCUUCCAUGGUGACCACGGGUAAUGGGGAAUCAGGGUUGAUUCCACACAGGGACCCUGACAAAAGGCUACCACAUGCAAGGAAGGCAGCAGGCGCGCAAAUGACCCACUCCCGACGCGGGGAGGUAGUGACG